CAGCGACCCAGGCCACCAAACCACUACUGGUUCAGCCAAACCAGUAGGAACCUACCACUAUUCUUCCAAAAAGGAUUAUACAUCAGGAAUGAUAUACAUUUAUUUCUGAAUACAUUUCAAAUGUUGGCAACUCCAGUUAAAAAGAUUGUGUCUAGAAGGAUAUGCACGUGGGAUACAGUAUCAGAGAACAUAAAUUUAAGGGCUGGGUUCUUCCCAACACUCAGCCAUAAUAUAGUUGUUGCAGUUUGGCCUAAUGUGUUAAGUGAUCCCAAUCAUUGUGGCUUGACAAAUAUGGCUUGUGGCCUAGUAAAUGAACCCAAUUGUAAUUUAUUCAAUAAUCCAUGGUUAAGCAAGCUGUAGCUUAGCGAAUAUGAACCACAUCAUAAUCUCAACCAGCUCAAAAUUGCUUUAGAUAACAAAGGAAAAUGAUUUAAAAAAUUGAGUUCACAGACUUUAAGUUAGUUCUACAUUGACCCAAACAGAUUAGACCUAGUUAAUAUUAUCAAGACUGAGAAACUCACAGUGAUACAAGGAGAAAGCAGUGCGCUGGUUCUAAUAGUUCACAUAAUCUGUUUAUCAAUAGUUUAACUAUGGUAUUUGUGUAAGUCAUAUCUGCCUGAAUUUACAAAUAUACUAAGCCAUAUACCAAGUUUUAUACAUCAAAAUGGCUAGAUUCAUAGAACGUGCGAAGCUAAAAAUCAAACUCUUUUUUUAAAAUAGUAACUCGUCUGACUCUCCUGGGUGGCUAGAAUUAGAGCAGAAAGCAUUAAAAAUGCUCUUAAAUUAUCUUGGUUACAUUUUAAUUUAUUUUCGUGGCAGCAACACUGUUGUCAGAUAAGUGAUGAGGUUGUAGGGGUAGGAAUAUUUUUUUGUUAUUUGGACAUCUUGGAGAUAGAGUGGUAGAAGAAUUAUUUUCUUUUGACCAUUUACCCAGCUGAGAUUUAGUAUCCUGUCCUGCUAAACUCUUCCCACACAGGCAUGGAAAGCACUCUGCAUUUGCCAGACGAGCUAUUGGGAUGAUUAUGGAAUCCUUUCCCCUGCCCAAAUUUAUGGUGCCCCCAUGAAAAGUUUACACUUAGUUGUAUUUAUAAUGGCUUAAAGGCUCUGUAAAACCUGGACAUUGACUCUGCUCUGUUAAGAUCCUCUAGCUUCAUUACACAAAAUGAGGAUGGAUGCUCUAAUGUUAGAGAACAGAUGACAGGAAGGGAGCUUGUGGGAUCUUCUGUGUUAUCAUUAAACUUGUCAAGCAAUCAAAGAGUUAUUAGUAGCUUAAUGGGAUUUUAAAACUGUUGAUUAAGUAACUAAUAAAACUAAAUAGAUCUGUAUAUUACCAAAAGUCUGAUACCACUGCCUUCUUGAGUUGGUGAAAAGAAGAGUAAAUUAACUUGCAGCGGAAUAAACAAAGCUACCACUUGCUGUUACAACUAUUAUACUUAACAUAUUCUUUUACAUUGCUUAUUAGAUUAAUACACCAGAAGAAACAUAGAUCUUAAGACAUACACAAACAUUUACUGAAUUAAUUGAUAAGACAUGCUGAUUCUUAAGCCCUACUGUAGAGAAAUAUGGAGGUGUAAUGAACGGAUGCAUACUUAUUAAUACAUACCCGUAAUUAUUUUUAAUCAGAGAUGGGAACUUGUUUACUUUCCUGUUAUUAUGCUGAAAAGGGCUAUUGAUAUUCUACUCUGCUAAGAAUGCUGAGAGAGAGGGAGGGAGGGGGAGAGAAAGAGAGGGAGGGAGGGAAGGGGAGAGAGAGAGGGAGAAAGAGGGAGAGAGACAGGCUCAAAGUCACCCAGUUCAUGCUUAAGACAGGAUUAAAACUCAUGGAUCCUGGCUUCUAAUCCAACACCUUUAUCCAUCACGGGUAGUCCUCCCUUAACAACCACAAUUGGGACCAGCAACUUCAUCACUCGGCACUGCACUCGCUAGGCAUAAAAUUAAAUGUCCACAAUGAACUUAUGUCACUUUCAUUCAAUCAUGAAGCAAGUCACUGUGAUUGUUAAGCAAGACAUCACAUGACCACAACUUGCAAUUUGACUUCAACAUUCUGCAUUAACGCAAGCCAGUUGGGAACCAUGGAAAUGAUGACCACAUGAGCAUGGGAAGCUACAAUCAUCAUAAAUGAGAAGAGUAGUUGCAAAGCUGGGGGCGGGAUUUGAUUUCCUUUGUUGUAACUUUGAAUGGUUGCUAAACAAGACAAUGGGAAAGCAAGGACGAUCUACGCACCAAAUUAGCUCUUCCAAAAAGGAUGGGUAGAUGGCAAAAAAAUGUCAGUGAUCACUAGAUAGCAGCAAAGUGUUACAGUAAAGCUUUCUAUCUCUCUUUGCUGCCAUCUAGUGGUUGUCCAACAUGCCUGUGCUAUCCAAUACCUUUGAUUACAUCCAGUAACAGGUCAAUUGACUUCACUUCCAAGAUAAUGCCUCUCCAAACAAUACAGAUUCUUCAUACCCUGAAGACACAAUGUGCUGCUGUCGGCUUAACAUAAGAAAAUCAUACUUUAAAGCUCAUCCCGCUCCAUUCUGGUAGCUUCCCAGCUUUGACACAACAAUUUCUCUACCAACCUUCUUUAUUAGGAUUCAGCUUCUUGAGUUUCUUUCAGAUCUGCCCACAACAUCUAUGCCCAAUUUUCAAAAAUGGCUCCUCUGACAAGUUCUAAAAAGGUAGAGAAGACAGCAAGGCCCCACCUUUUAGUUGAAGAACACGCGCCGUGUCCUUUUAGCACCAUUUGAAAAUUACUACACUGCUGCUAUUCUAUUUGAGAAAAUCAAGAGACAUUUUUGCCCUUUUCUGCUUUACAAGAACUCUGAAAUGUAUGUUUUUCUUUAGAUGCAGCAGCCCUGCUUGUACUCAUUGUGAAGUUCAGAAAAUAAUAAGGGUGCGUAUGCGUUUAUUUGCCAGUUUCUUCACACUUGUCAGUUUCUAUCAUGUUCCAGCUCUCUCUUUCAAACAAGAUACUUGUUUUCUGAGCAGCUAGUCAAAUUAAGUCUGACAGGAUCCAGCAAGUUGCAUAAUUAUGGCAAGUCUGCUUCCCUCUAUUCUUAACUGUUUCUCCUCUAGUUUAUUACCAUGUGAUUUCUUUGCCACAUUAUUGACACUUGGGAGAUGCCCAGAUGAAACUUGGGAAGGACAGACCAACCAGUCUUUUCCAUUCCUGCCACAGAGCUUAACUGACAGGUGUUUUCCCCAUUUAUGAGGGCAUGCUGAAAAGGGAUAGCAACAAAGCCAGAAGAGAAAACAAAUCACUUUACCUAUAAGGAAUAGUGCACCUAACAAAUCAGGGCAAUGCAGUGACUUGCAGCAGAUACAACAGAGAAAGCAGAAAGAUUGGCACUGGGACAGUCAAAAUUAAAGUGUCAGAAUGGUUCCAUAACUGACUCAAGGAUAGGCAUUGAACUGAGUACUGAGGAAAGGCCCUGAAUAUCUUAGAUAAAUCAAAUUAAUACAUCAACCCCUAUUGAACACAAUACGUCAACACUAUUGAUUUGAUAGAGGGUACAAGUAAACCUUUCAGGGUUACACAAGAACCUAUACAGCUUUUGCCGUCUAUCUGGGUUUCUUUGAAUGUACAUACAGUCUUUCUAGUCCUCCAGAGAUAAAUAUCUCUAUAGUUAAAAUGUAUUAAAUGGAUUAAGUGAACUUUUGUAGUGCUGAAUUUUAGUGAUUUCACAAUCUACAGUAGCUCCAGGUAGUUCUGCAUAGCAGUCAAAUCACAAAUGUUAGGUGGGCCUAGAUCAGAGGUCCCCAAACUCUUCAGUGCAUAGAGCCUAACCCUUCAUGAAGUUUCAGAUUGUUCUUUGACCCUCAAACAUUUCUUACAUGAAAAUAAUUUAAUAAAUAUUUGUUUAACUAAUAGUACUGUGAAUAACAAUGAUGACAAUGAAUAGCUACAUCAACCCUUGGUGGUUGGUACUGAUCACUUUGGAGUAUCCUGCCCUAAAUUAAUGUAUCUAGACAACAAGCAGGGACAAUCCAACAUCAACUCUGAAAAAAUAUCAUCUUAAACUAGUAUUCUGCCAUUUCCAAAGAAUAAGACUCCUUCCUGAGUUUAUCUGGAUGGUAUAGAUACUUUUGGGGGAAAUAUUAGCAUUCUAACUGCUCACCUACUGUGAUCAAACUCUCAACUAAAUAAGGUCCGAUCUACAAAUGCUACCACUUCAGUUUGCAGGCCGAAUGACCAUAUAAUAUAUUUUGUCCUGCUGCAAACCAGCUAACACCAAGAAAUAACCAAAUUUCAGAGCUAAACAAAAUCACGUCUAGCAAUUCUCAGAGAAGAAAGCCUAGCUAUUGGUUAGGCACUGCAGAAACUCCAGCCAGUUGAGGAAACCCUAUACAAGAUGCAAAGAAAUGUGAUCUUCUGAUGCUGUAUCACAUAGAUUCACAUUAUUUUUGGCAUAGAAGUGGUUUUUAAAAAGUGUCAUUUCCCUUUUUAGAAUUUCCAAUGGCUCUUUACUAUAUAGGGUCAAUAUUAUUUGGGUCAAUGCUUGUCAGCACGUACCUGAAGUUGUAAAGAAAUAUUCUGCAGGAAAUAUGAUUAACCACAGGAACAUCUGGGGAAAAAGGGUGCUUAUAAAAAGACAAGAGGACAUAUCACGCACACAAAGUCCUGCAUGGCGCAUGAAAACCAGGUGUGGCUUAAAUUGCACUUCCACAGAGGCCCCUGAACACAUAAGUUGUUGUUAUUCUCCUUCCUGUCCCAAAUUUACCUGCCACUUGCCACCACUUAUUUUAAAACCACAAAUUACAAUCUUGUUCCAGGUAUUGUUGUGGCCCAACUGCAGCCGGCUGGUGGAAUCUGACAGCGAUGAACACUAUGGGACUGCCCUAGAGGCUGAGGAAGACUCUGGGGGGUGUUUGGAGGCAGAGCAGGGACAGAGCAGAGGCCUGUUGGCCACCAGGUGGUGUCUGAGUCAGGGAACAGUGGAGAAGAACAGAGGGAGGCAGUCCCUGACGUACGUACGCGUAGGGCUGCAAGGAGGACGGAGCAGCUUUGGAAAAAGGGUUACAGAAGGAAAUAGGAACAAGUGGCUACUGAUUGG